rnacentral:rRNA from 1 species
GAUGAACGCUAGCGGCGGGCCUAACACAUGCAAGUCGAGGGGCAGCACGAUAUAGCAAUAUAUUGGUGGCGACCGGCAAAUGGGUGAGUAACGCGUAUGUAAUCUACCUUUAGCUGGAGGAUAGCCUGAAGAAAUUCGGAUUAAUACUCCAUAAUCAUAUUAUCGCAUGAUAAUAUCGUUAAAGUUUUUCGGCAAAAGAUGAGCAUGCGUCUGAUUAGUUAGUUGGUAAGGUAAUGGCUUACCAAGACUUUGAUCAGUAGGGGGCCUGAGAGGGUGAUCCCCCACACUGGUACUGAGACACGGACCAGACUCCUACGGGAGGCAGCAGUGAGGAAUAUUGGUCAAUGGAGGAAACUCUGAACCAGCCACGCCGCGUGCAGGAAGAAUGCCCUAUGGGUUGUAAACUGCUUUUAUGAAGGAAUAAUUUUUUCUACGUGUAGAAAAUUGAAGGUACUUCAUGAAUAAGUAUCGGCAAACUCCGUGCCAGCAGCCGCGGUAAUACGGAGGAUACAAGCGUUAUCCGGAUUUAUUGGGUUUAAAGGGUGCGUAGGUGGUUUUUUAAGUCAGUGGUGAAAUCUUAUAGCUUAACUAUAAAAUGGCUGUUGAUACUGGAAAACUAGAGUAAUAUUGGAGUAACUGGAAUGUGUGGUGUAGCGGUGGAAUGCGUAGAUAUCACACAGAACACCAAUCGCGAAGGCAGGUUACUAAGUAUUUACUGACGCUGAGGCACGAAAGCAUGGGGAGCAAACAGGAUUAGAUACCCUGGUAGUCCAUGCCGUAAACGAUGAUCACUAACUGUUGAUAUUUUUAUAUCAGUAGUCAAGCGAAAGUGAUAAGUGAUCCACCUGAAGAGUACGAUCGCAAGAUUGAAACUCAAAGGAAUUGACGGGGGCCCGCACAAGCGGUGGAGCAUGUGGUUUAAUUCGAUGAUACGCGAGGAACCUUACCAAGGCUUAAAUGUGCUACGAAUAAGUUGGAAACAAUUUAGUCUUCGGACGGAGCGCAAGGUGCUGCAUGGUUGUCGUCAGCUCGUGCCGUGAGGUGUCAGGUUAAGUCCUUCAACGAGCGAAACCCCUAUUGUUAUUUGCCAGCGAGUUAUGUCGGGAACUUUAACAAGACUGCCGUCGCAAGACGUGAGGAAGGUGGGGAUGAUGUCAAAUCAUCAUGGCCCUUAUGCCUUGGGCUACACACGUGCUACAAUGGUCAGUACAAUGAGCUGCAACUAGGCAACUAGGAGCUAAUCUUUAAAACUGAUCUCAGUUCGGAUUGGAGUCUGCAACUCGACUCUAUGAAGCUGGAAUCGCUAGUAAUCGCAUAUCAGCAAUGAUGCGGUGAAUAUGUUCCCGGGCCU